GACAGAGGGUGCAAACGUUGUUCGGAAUCACUGGGCGUAAAGCGCAUGUAGGCGGCAGUGCAAGUCGGAUGUGAAAUCCCGCGGCUCAACCGUGGAAGUGCACCCGAAACUGCACAGCUUGAGUGUCGGAGAGGAAGGUGGAAUGCUUGGUGUAGAGGUGAAAUUCGUAGAUAUCAAGCGGAACACCGGUGGCGAAGGCGGCCUUCUGGACGACAACUGACGCUGAGAUGCGAAAGCGUGGGUAGCAAACAGG
rnacentral:rRNA from 1 species